rnacentral:rRNA from 1 species
AGUGAACGCUGGCGGUAUGCCUAACACAUGCAAGUCGAACGGCAGCACAGGAGAGCUUGCUCUCUGGGUGGCGAGUGGCGGACGGGUGAGGAAUACAUCGGAAUCUGCCCAGUCGUGGGGGAUAACGUAGGGAAACUUACGCUAAUACCGCAUACGACCUUCGGGUGAAAGAGGGGGAUCGCAAGACCUCUCGCGAUUGGAUGAGCCGAUGUCGGAUUAGCUAGUUGGCGGGGUAAUGGCCCACCAAGGCGACGAUCCGUAGCUGGUCUGAGAGGAUGAUCAGCCACACUGGAACUGAGACACGGUCCAGACUCCUACGGGAGGCAGAAGUGGGGAAUAUUGGACAAUGGGCGCAAGCCUGAUCCAGCCAUACCGCGUGGGUGAAGAAGGCCUUCGGGUUGUAAAGCCCUUUUGUUGGGAAAGAAAUCUUUCAGGCUAAUACCCUGGGAGGAUGACGGUACCCAAAGAAUAAGCACCGGCUAACUUCGUG